GAUGGUUUAACACUUAAACACAUUCACCAAAAGAAUCUCCCAUAAUAGUGUAGUCAUCAAAUUUUUAGCCUUCUAUAGCAUGGUUUGAAGGAAUGACUAAUCGCAACAUUAUUUGCACCAUAAGUUGUUUGCAAUUGAACUCACCAAUCUAUAUAUGAACUGUGCUCUGACUGGAUGAUUGAUUUGAGCUUUGGAGAUUUAUUUAUUGGAAGUUUAAAUAGACAAAAAAAUAAAUACCAAGAAUGUUUUUUUUUUUUUGACAGGGCUAUGGACGAUCAUUGUGGUUGAUACAUGGGAUGUUUAGGGCCAAUGGUGGUUGUGGAUAUGUGAAAAAGCCCGAUUUUUUGUUAAAGGUCGGUCCAAAUAAUGAGGUCUUCGAUCCUAAAGCUACAUUACCAUUCAAAACAACUUUGAAGGUGACUGUUUAUAUGGGUGAAGGAUGGUAUUUUGAUUUCUCUCACACACACUUUGAUACAUAUUCCCCACCAGAUUUCUAUACAAGGGUAAAUUGAUAGAGUCAUCAAUAUUGUAAUUGUUGUCAAUGUCUUGGAUAAUAUUCAUUUUGAUUACAAUAGAGACCUGCUAUUUCUCUUAUUAAAAGUCAUAACUAUGAUAAUGUUUGCUAGUCCUAUUUCAGACAAAAAAGGUGUAUAAGGAACCAUGGCAUUAAAAAAUGCUCAAUUUUCCAUUUCUGUUAUUUGCCAUAGUUUCAGGGAAAAAGUGGAUAUAUUGUAACAAUAAAUGUAUUAUUGAUUGAUGAGUUGAUUACAA